UUAACCGAAAGUUUACUUUUGGAGCGGUUAGUGGCGGACUGGUGAGUAACACGUAAGCAACCUGCCUAUCAGAGGGGAACAACAGUUAGAAAUGACUGCUAAUACCGCAUAUGCCUAAGUAUCACAUGGUACAAUAGGGAAAGAAGCAAUUCGCUGAUAGAUGGGCUUGCGUCUGAUUAGAUAGUUGGUGGGGUAACGGCCUACCAAGUCGACGAUCAGUAGCCGGACUGAGAGGUUGAACGGCCACAUUGGGACUGAGAUACGGCCCAGACUCC
rnacentral:rRNA from 1 species